GCAGAGCACUCUACGGGAGGCAGCAGUGGGGAAUAUUGCACAAUGGGCGCAAGCCUGAUGCAGCCAUGCCGCGUGUAUGAAGUAAGGCCUUCGGGGUUGUAAAGUACUUUCAGCAGUGAGGAAGGUGGAUAUGUUAAUAGCAUAUUCAUUUGACGUUAGCCUGCAGAAGAAGCACCGGCUAACUCCGUGCCAGCAGCCGCGGUAAUACGGAGGGUGCGAGCGUUAAUCGGAAUUACUGGGCGUAAAGCGCAUGCAGGUGGUUUGUUAAGUCAGAUGUGAAAGCCCGGGGCUCAACCUCGGAAUUGCAUUUGAAACUGGCAAACUAGAGUACUGUAGAGGGGGUAGAAUUUCAGGUGUAGCGGUGAAAAUGCGUAGAGAUCUGAAGGAAUACCGGUGGCGAAGGCGGCCCCCUGGACAGAUACUGACACUCAGAUGCGAAAGCGUGGGGAGCAAACAGGAUUAGAUACCCUGGUAG
rnacentral:rRNA from 1 species